GAUAAACGCUGGCGGCGUGCAUAACACAUGCAAGUCGAACGAUGAAACUCAGCUGAUUUCUUCGGAAUGAAAUUGAGCGGAUUAGUGGCGAACGGGUGAGUAACACGUGAGUAACCUGCCUUACACAAGGGGAUAGCCUUUGGAAACGAAGAAUAAUACCCUAUAAAGUCAAAAUAUCGCAUGAUAAAGUGACCAAAGAUUUAUCGGUGUAAGAUGGACUUGCGUCUGAUUAGCUAGUUGGUGAGAUAAAAGCCCACCAAGGCGACGAUCAGUAGCCGGCUUGAGAGAGUGUACGGCCACAUUGGGACUGAGACACGGCCCAAACUCCUACGGGAGGCAGCAGUGAGGAAUUUUGCACAAUGGGGGAAACCCUGAUGCAGCGACGCCGCGUGAUUUAGAAGGCCUUCGGGUUGUAAAAAUCUUUUUUAUGGGAUGAAAAUGACAGUACCAUAAGAAUAAGGUCCGGCUAAAUACGUGCCAGCAGCCGCGGUAAUACGUAUGGACCGAGCGUUGUCCGGAAUCAUUGGGCGUAAAGGGUACGUAGGCGGCCUAGUAAGUUAGAAGUGAAAUAAUAUAGCUCAACUAUAUAAAGCUUUUAAAACUGUUAGGCUUGAGAGAUGAAAGGGAAAGUGGAAUUCCUAGUGUAGCGGUGAAAUGCGCAGAUAUUAGGAAGAAUACCGGUGGCGAAGGCGACUUUCUGGUCAUCAUCUGACGCUGAGGUACGAAGGCGUGGGUAGCAAACAGG
rnacentral:rRNA from 1 species